GAUGAACGCUGGCGGCGUGCUUAACACAUGCAAGUCGAACGAGCCUUCGGGCUAGUGGCGGACGGGUGAGUAACGCGUGGGAAUCUGCCCUCAGGAGGGGGAUAACGGCCGGAAACGGCCGCUAAUACCCCAUAUGCCGAGAGGUGAAAUGAAUUUCGCCUGAGGAUGAGCCCGCGUCUGAUUAGCUAGUUGGUGUGGUAAUGGCGCACCAAGGCGACGAUCAGUAGCUGGUCUGAGAGGAUGAUCAGCCACACUGGGACUGAGACACGGCCCAGACUCCUACGGGAGGCAGCAGUGGGGAAUUUUCCGCAAUGGGCGAAAGCCUGACGGAGCAACGCCGCGUGAGGGAUGAAGGCCUCUGGGCUGUAAACCUCUUUUCUCAAGGAAGAAGACAUGACGGUACUUGAGGAAUAAGCCACGGCUAAUUCCGUGCCAGCAGCCGCGGUAAUACGGGAGUGGCAAGCGUUAUCCGGAAUUAUUGGGCGUAAAGCGUCCGCAGGCGGCCUUGUAAGUCUGUCGUUAAAGCGUGGAGCUUAACUCCAUUUAAGCGAUGGAAACUACAAGGCUUGAGUGUGGUAGGGGCAGAGGGAAUUCCCGGUGUAGCGGUGAAAUGCGUAGAUAUCGGGAAGAACACCAGUGGCGAAGGCGCUCUGCUGGGCCAUAACUGACGCUCAUGGACGAAAGCCAGGGGAGCGAAAGGGAUUAGGUACCCCUGUAGUCCUGGCCGUAAACGAUGAACACUAGGUGUCGGGGGAAUCGACCCCCUCGGUGUCGUAGCUAACGCGUUAAGUGUUCCGCCUGGGGAGUACGCACGCAAGUGUGAAACUCAAAGGAAUUGACGGGGGCCCGCACAAGCGGUGGAGUAUGUGGUUUAAUUCGAUGCAACGCGAAGAACCUUACCAGGGUUUGACAUCCUGCGAAUCCCUUGGAAACGAGGGAGUGCCUUCGGGAGCGCAGAGACAGGUGGUGCAUGGCUGUCGUCAGCUCGUGUCGUGAGAUGUUGGGUUAAGUCCCGCAACGAGCGCAACCCACGUCUUUAGUUGCCAGCAUUCAGUUGGGCACUCUAGAGAGACCGCCGGUGAUAAACCGGAGGAAGGUGUGGAUGACGUCAAGUCAUCAUGCCCCUUACAUCCUGGGCUACACACGUACUACAAUGCUACGGACAAAGGGUUGCAAGCUCGCGAGAGUUAGCUAAUCCCAUAAACCGUGGCUCAGUUCAGAUCGUAGGCUGCAACUCGCCUACGUGAAGGAGGAAUCGCUAGUAAUCGCAGGUCAGCAUACUGCGGUGAAUACGUUCCCGGGCCUUGUACACACCGCCCGUCACACCAUGGAAGUUGGCCAUGCCCGAAGUCGUUACUCCAACCCUUGUGGAGGAGGACGCCGAAGGUGGGGCUGAUGACUGGGGUGAA
rnacentral:rRNA from 1 species